rnacentral:rRNA from 1 species
CCUACGGGAGGCAGCAGUGAGGAAUAUUGGUCAAUGGGCGUAAGCCUGAACCAGCCAAGUCGCGUGAGGGAUGAAGGUUCUAUGGAUCGUAAACCUCUUUUAUAAGGGAAUAAAGUGUGGGACGUGUCCUGUUUUGUAUGUACCUUAUGAAUAAGGAUCGGCUAACUCCGUGCCAGCAGCCGCGGUAAUACGGAGGAUCCGAGCGUUAUCCGGAUUUAUUGGGUUUAAAGGGUGCGUCGGCGGGCUUUUAAGGCAGCGGUGAAAGUCUGUGGCUCAACCAUAGCAGUGCCGUUGAAACUGGGAGGCUUGAGUGUGUUAGAGGCAGGCGGAAUGCGUGGUGGAGCGGUGAAAUGCUUAGAUAUCACGCAGAACACCGAUUGCGAAGGCAGCUUGCCAAGCCAUGACUGACGCUGAUGCACGAAAGCGUGGGGAGCAAACAGGAUUAGAUACCCGGGUAGUC